rnacentral:rRNA from 1 species
UAGAGUUUUCCCCUUCGGGGGACAAAGUGACAGGUGGUGCAUGGUUGUCGUCAGCUCGUGUUGUGAGAUGUUGGGUUAAGUCCCGCAACGAGCGCAACCCUUAAGCUUAGUUGCCAUCAUUAAGUUGGGCACUCUAAGUUGACUGCCGGUGGCAAACCGGAGGAAGGUGGGGAUGACGUCAAAUCAUCAUGCCCCUUAUGAUUUGGGCUACACACGUGCUACAAUGGACAAUACAAAGGGCAGCUAAACCGCGAGGUCAAGCAAAUCUCAUAAAGUUGUUCUCAGUUCGGAUUGUAGUCUGCAACUCGACUACAUGAAGCUGGAAUUGCUAGUAAUCGUAGAUCAGCAUGCUACGGUGAAUACGUUCCCGGGCCUUGUACACACCGA